rnacentral:rRNA from 1 species
ACGUAGGGUGCGAGCGUUGUCCGGAAUUACUGGGCGUAAAGAGCUCGUAGGCGGUUUGUCACGUCGUCUGUGAAAUCCUCCAGCUUAACUGGGGGCGUGCAGGCGAUACGGGCAGACUUGAGUACUACAGGGGAGACUGGAAUUCCUGGUGUAGCGGUGAAAUGCGCAGAUAUCAGGAGGAACACCGGUGGCGAAGGCGGGUCUCUGGGUAGUAACUGACGCUGAGGAGCGAAAGCAUGGGUAGCGAACAG